GUCGAGCGGUAACACAAGGGAGCUUGCUCCUGAGGUGACGAGCGGCGGACGGGUGAGUAAUGCCUAGGGAUCUGCCCAGUCGAGGGGGAUAACAGUUGGAAACGACUGCUAAUACCGCAUACGCCCUACGGGGGAAAGGAGGGGACCUUCGGGCCUUUCGCGAUUGGAUGAACCUAGGUGGGAUUAGCUAGUUGGUGAGGUAAUGGCUCACCAAGGCGACGAUCCCUAGCUGUUCUGAGAGGAUGAUCAGCCACACUGGGACUGAGACACGGCCCAGACUCCUACGGGAGGCAGCAGUGGGGAAUAUUGCACAAUGGGCGAAAGCCUGAUGCAGCCAUGCCGCGUGUGUGAAGAAGGCCUUAGGGUUGUAAAGCACUUUCAGUAGGGAGGAAAGGUAAUUGUUUAAUAAACAAUUGCUGUGACGUUACCUACAGAAGAAGGACCGGCUAACUUCGUGCCAGCAGCCGCGGUAAUACGAGGGGUCCAAGCGUUAAUCGGAAUUACUGGGCGUAAAGCGUACGCAGGCGGUUCAUUAAGCUAGAUGUGAAAUCCCCGGGCUCAACCUGGGAAUUGCAUUUAGAACUGGUGAACUAGAGUCUUGUAGAGGGGGGUA
rnacentral:rRNA from 1 species